rnacentral:rRNA from 1 species
GACGAACGCUGGCGGCGCGCUUAACACAUGCAAGUCGAACGGAAAGGCCUGCUUUCCCUUGUGGAUUGCGGGUACUCGAGUGGCGAACGGGUGAGUAACACGUGAGUGAUCUGCCCCCAACUUGGGUAUAAGCCUGGGAAACUGGGUCUAAUUCCCGAUAGGACUGCAGGGUGGUGCCUGUGGUGGAAAACGAUUUUCUAGUGGUUGGGGAUGAGCUCGCGGCCUAUCAGCUUGUUGGUGGGGUAAUGGCCUACCAAGGCGGCGACGGGUAGCCGGCCUGGGAGGGUGGACGGCCACAUUGGGACUGAGAUACGGCCCAGACUCCUACGGGAGGCAGCAGUGGGGAAUAUUGGACAAUGGGCGGAAGCCUGAUGCAGCGACGCAGCGUGGGGGAUGACGGCCUUCGGGUUGUAAACUCCUUUCGACCGCGAGGAAGCCACCUGGUUGGAAGGGUGGUGACGGUAGUGGUAGAAGAAGCACCGGCUAACUACGUG